CCCCUUCCGCCGGGCCCGCCCGUUUCCUAUAAUCCGGGCUGCCGGGGCAACCCGGCUAUGGCGAUAAACGGUGCCUGGAAUAAGCGUAGCGGACCCGGGGGCAGUGCCCGGCGCCUCCACCAUCAUCUCCCCCUGCGGCGGGGGCCUUAAGGGGGCGAAACAGGCUCGACGCGCGUGGUAAAGAGGUACCUUUCGCCCGGCACGGUUCCGCCGUCAUCGGGCCAAUCCACAAGUGCCAACGACAACAGCCGUAUGGCGCUCGCUGCCUGAUCUGAUCGGGUAAGCGCGGUUCGGGGGGCACCGGGCAACAGAAGCCCCCCACU
rnacentral:tmRNA from 1 species